rnacentral:rRNA from 1 species
GAUGAACGCUGGCGGCGUGCCUAAUACAUGCAAGUCGAGCGAACAGACGAGGAGCUUGCUCCUCUGACGUUAGCGGCGGACGGGUGAGUAACACGUGGAUAACCUACCUAUAAGACUGGGAUAACUUCGGGAAACCGGAGCUAAUACCGGAUAAUAUAUUGAACCGUAUGGUUCAAUAGUGAAAGACGGUUUUGCUGUCACUUAUAGAUGGAUCCGCGCCGCAUUAGCUAGUUGGUAAGGUAACGGCUUACCAAGGCAACGAUGCGUAGCCGACCUGAGAGGGUGAUCGGCCACACUGGAACUGAGACACGGUCCAGACUCCUACGGGAGGCAGCAGUAGGGAAUCUUCCGAAAUGGGCGAAAGCCUGACGGAGCAACGCCGCGUGAGUGAUGAAGGUCUUCGGAUCGUAAAACUCUGUUAUUAGGGAAGAACAAAUGUGUAAGUAACUAUGCACGUCUUGACGGUACCUAAUCAGAAAGCCACGGCUAACUACGUG